rnacentral:sRNA from 1 species
GAAAGGUUAAAGUCGUAACAAGGUUUCCGUAGGUGAACCUGCGGAAGGAUCAUUACAGAAUGAAAAGUGCUUAACUGCAUUUUUUCUUACACAUGUGUUUUUCUUUUUUUGAAAACUUUGCUUUGGUAGGCCUUCUAUAUGGGGCCUGCCAGAGAUUAAACUCAACCAAAUUUUAUUUAAUGUCAACCGAUUAUUUAAUAGUCAAAACUUUCAACAACGGAUCUCUUGGUUCUCGCAUCGAUGAAGAACGCAGCGAAAUGCGAUAAGUAAUAUGAAUUGCAGAUAUUCGUGAAUCAUCGAAUCUUUGAACGCACAUUGCGCCCUUUGGUAUUCCAAAGGGCAUGCCUGUUUGAGCGUCAUUUCUCCCUCAAACCCUCGGGUUUGGUGUUGAGCGAUACGCUGGGUUUGCUUGAAAGAAAGGCGGAGUAUAAACUAAUGGAUAGGUUUUUUCCACUCAUUGGUACAAACUCCAAAACUUCUUCCAAAUUCGACCUCAAAUCAGGUAGGACUACCCGCUGAACUUAAGCAUAUCAAUAGCGGGA